rnacentral:lncRNA from 1 species
AGUGAUAGCGGUUGUCGAAGCCGUAAAAAAUAAACCUAUUAUCAAUCAACAAAUAAAUUUGUAGAUAAUGGCAAUAGGGUCGAACCACAGGGAUUUGACACCAAAUAUCUUCCUAAUAAUGACUAAGGCAAGUAAAUAGCAAAAAUAAAAAGGGGGUUUUGUUUUGAAGAUGUACUAAAGCUAAUUAACAAUAGAAAGCAAAUAAUUUAAAGAUGAGUAAACCAAUAAGAG